rnacentral:rRNA from 1 species
GAACAGAUAUUAGAUACCUUGGUAGUCCACACAGUAAACGAUGAAUACUCGCUGUUUGCGACAUACAGUAAGCGGCCAAGCGAAAGCAUUAAGUAUUCCACGUGGGGAGUACGCCGGCAACGGUGAAACUCAAAGGAAUUGACGGGGGCCCGCACAAGCGGAGGAACAUGUGGUUUAAUUCGAUGAUACGCGAGGAACCUUACCCGGGCUUGAAUUGCAGAGGAACAUAGUUGAAAGAUUAUGGCCGCAAGGUCUCUGUGAAGGUGCUGCAUGGUUGUUGUCAGCUCGUGCCGUGAGGUGUCGGCUUAAGUGCCAUAACGAGCGCAACCCUUAUCAUUAGUUACUAACAGGUCAUGCUGAGGACUCUAGUGAGACUGCCGUCGUAAGAUGUGAGGAAGGUGGGGAAGACUUCAAAUCAGCACGGCCCUUACGUCCGGGGUUACACAAGUGUUACAAUGGGGGGUACAGAGGGCAGCUACCGGGCGACCAGAUCCCAAUCCCAAAAACCUUUCUCAGUUCGGAUCGAAGUCUGCAACCCGACUUCGUGAAGCUGGAUUCUCUAGUAAUCGCGCAUCAGCCACGGCGCGUUGAAUACGUUCCCGGACCUUGUACACACCGCCCGGCAAGCCAUGGGAGCCGGGGGUACUUGAAGUAACUAACCGCAAGGAGCGUCCUAGGGUAAAAUUGGUGACUGGGGUUAAGUCGUAACAAGGUAGCCG